rnacentral:sRNA from 1 species
GCCAGGUGCGGUGGCACACGCCUGUCAUCCCAGCGGCUUGAGGGAGGCUGAGGCAGGAGGAUUGCAAGUUGGAGGCCAGCCUCAGCCACUUAGAAAGGGCCGAAGCAACUCAGCGAGACCCUGUCUCUA